AUGUACUUAAACAAUCCUGGGUAUGACAGCAUUCCAUCUUCAUAUCCAUUCCCCCAUUCAACCAUAAACUUCAUGAAGGCAGGGGCCCAUGCUUGUUUUCUUUCUUUCUCUCUCUCUCUCUCUCUUUCUUUCCCUCCCUCCCUCCCUCCCUCCCUCCCUUCCUUCCUUCCUUCCUUCCUUCCUUCCUUCCUUCCUUCCUUCCUUCCUUCCUUCCUUCCUUCCUUCCUUCCUUCCCCUCCCUUACCUUAUAUCUUGGAAUCAAUGCCAUGUAUUGUUUCCAAGGCAGAACUGUGGUAAGGGCUAGGCAAUGGGGGUCAAGUGACUUGCCCAGGGUCACACUGCUGGGAAGUGUCUGAGGCCAGAUUUAAACCCAGAACCUCCCGUUUCUAGGCCUGGCUCUCAAUCCACUGAGCUACCCAGCUGCCCCCCUCCCCCCCAUGCUUUAUUUCUGCUAGCACAUAGUACAAUGCUUUCUCAGCACCCAGUAGGAACUCAGUAAACAUGUAUUAACUCUCAAUUAACUAGAAGAAGAAACUCACUAAGCACUCUCCUUCCUGGAAAUGUCCCUAAAUCUUCCUGCUACCAAUAGUUUAUUAAGGAGCCCCUCAGUGGAACAUGAGCUCCUUCAGGGUGGGGAUGAUUUCAUUUUUGUACCCAUGACUCCAGUGCCCAGCAUGAUGCACUGGGGAUGCUUAAAUGCUUGUUGGAUUGACUGAACUGGAAUCAUACCGGACAGACACCGAGGGAUGAGCUUCAUGGUAGGAAUCGUAGGAAUGGAGUCUUUCAGGGCAGGGCUAACUCUAGGGAAUCCUGUCACAACAUAACCUGUAUUCACAUGCUUCAUCCAAAACAGGGACUUGAUCAGCCAAGAAGAGCAGCGCCACGCAGACCAGAAAACCUUGCCCAGACCAUUCUGUGAGCAGGGAACCUCUCGGUAGGUGAUCUCCCAGGAUGAGCCUUCCAAACCAACAACGCCCCCAAGCACCAUGUCUUCAAGAAUCAAACCAACAGUUUUUGAAGUUGGGGGAAACCUGAGCAACUGGGUGAAGCUACAACGGAGAUAAUUAAAGCCCCAAAUGGGAUGUUAUUGAGACAUGCAAAUUCAGGUUCAUUUUUUCCAAGAAUCAAUAAAUAAUUGCGAAAGAACA
rnacentral:lncRNA from 1 species